UCCGAAUCUCAUUGUUGCCUGUUGGGAGA
rnacentral:piRNA from 1 species